UGGGUUUAGAAGCAACAGAAUCACAGUAAAGAGGUUCACUCUUUACUAGAGUAAAGAGUUAAUCUUCAUCAACUCUUUGGAUCUUCUUAAAUCGUGAAGCUAGAAAGUGUGUGUGAGCUGAUGUGGAUUCAGCAGCAUGGAUCAGUGUGAGGACAGAGAGGAGGGAGUCCCUCCCUCUAAAACCACUCUGUGUGGGGAAGAUGAGAGCCAGAGCAAAGGUCAGAGGAUCCAUCAGAGACUCAAACCAGAACCAGAACCAGAACCCAGCUGUGUGUCCUUUAAGAGCAACAGGUCAAAGGAUGAGAUCAUUGACUUUAAAUCUCCU